CUACACAUGCAAGUCGAGCGGUAGCACAGAGAGCUUGCUCUCGGGUGACGAGCGGCGGACGGGUGAGUAAUGUCUGGGAAACUGCCUGAUGGAGGGGGAUAACUACUGGAAACGGUAGCUAAUACCGCAUAAUGUCGCAAGACCAAAGUGGGGGACCUUCGGGCCUCAUGCCAUCAGAUGUGCCCAGAUGGGAUUAGCUAGUAGGUGGGGUAACGGCUCACCUAGGCGACGAUCCCUAGCUGGUCUGAGAGGAUGACCAGCCACACUGGAACUGAGACACGGUCCAGACUCCUACGGGAGGCAGCAGUGGGGAAUAUUGCACAAUGGGCGCAAGCCUGAUGCAGCCAUGCCGCGUGUGUGAAGAAGGCCUUCGGGUUGUAAAGCACUUUCAGCGGGGAGGAAGGCGGUGAGGUUAAUAACCUCAUCGAUUGACGUUACCCGCAGAAGAAGCACCGGCUAACUCCGUGCCAGCAGCCGCGGUAAUACGGAGGGUGCAAGCGUUAAUCGGAAUUACUGGGCGUAAAGCGCACGCAGGCGGUCUGUCAAGUCGGAUGUGAAAUCCCCGGGCUCAACCUGGGAACUGCAUUCGAAACUGGCAGGCUAGAGUCUUGUAGAGGGGGGUAGAAUUCCAGGUGUAGCGGUGAAAUGCGUAGAGAUCUGGAGGAAUACCGGUGGCGAAGGCGGCCCCCUGGACAAAGACUGACGCUCAGGUGCGAAAGCGUGGGGAGCAAACAGGAUUAGAUACCCUGGUAGUCCACGCCGUAAACGAUGUCGAUUUGGAGGUUGUGCCCUUGAGGCGUGGCUUCCGGAGCUAACGCGUUAAAUCGACCGCCUGGGGAGUACGGCCGCAAGGUUAAAACUCAAAUGAAUUGACGGGGGCCCGCACAAGCGGUGGAGCAUGUGGUUUAAUUCGAUGCAACGCGAAGAACCUUACCUGGUCUUGACAUCCACAGAACUUUCCAGAGAUGGAUUGGUGCCUUCGGGAACUGUGAGACAGGUGCUGCAUGGCUGUCGUCAGCUCGUGUUGUGAAAUGUUGGGUUAAGUCCCGCAACGAGCGCAACCCUUAUCCUUUGUUGCCAGCGGUUAGGCCGGGAACUCAAAGGAGACUGCCAGUGAUAAACUGGAGGAAGGUGGGGAUGACGUCAAGUCAUCAUGGCCCUUACGACCAGGGCUACACACGUGCUACAAUGGCAUAUACAAAGAGAAGCGACCUCGCGAGAGCAAGCGGACCUCAUAAAGUAUGUCGUAGUCCGGAUUGGAGUCUGCAACUCGACUCCAUGAAGUCGGAAUCGCUAGUAAUCGUAGAUCAGAAUGCUACGGUGAAUACGUUCCCGGGCCUUGUACACACCGCCCGUCACACCAUGGGAGUGGGUUGCAAAAGAAGUAGGUAGCUUAACCUUCGGGAGGGCGCUUACCAC
rnacentral:rRNA from 1 species